GUACACGGUGGAUGCCCUGGCAGUCAGAGGCGAUGAAGGACGUGCUAAUCUGCGAAAAGCGUCGGUAAGGUGAUAUGAACCGUUAUAACCGGCGAUGUCCGAAUGGGGAAACCCAGUGCAAUUCGUUGCACUAUCGUUAACUGAAUACAUAGGUUAACGAGGCGAACCGGGGGAACUGAAACAUCUAAGUACCCCGAGGAAAAGAAAUCAACCGAGAUUCCCCCAGUAGCGGCGAGCGAACGGGGAGCAGCCCAGAGUCUGAAUCAGCUUGUGUGUUAGUGGAACGGUCUGGAA
rnacentral:rRNA from 1 species